AAGUCGUAACAAGGUAACCGUAGGUGAACCUGCGGUUGGAUCAUUAUAAAACGUUACGGAAGUAACAGCAUUGACGGUAACCAGCCCGGCUUUACACCAUGUGAACUGUGACUCGUCUUUGGCAAGUAAUGCGGAGGGUUUAAGCUUUAAUCGCGCAACCAUCUGCAGAGUUUCAAUGCCUUGGUCUCCUUAUAGUCAUAAGGGGUUUGAGAAUUGAAAGCUUGUCGUUGUCUUCUAAAACUCUUUGCUUAUUUGACUGAAAAUAUUAAGUUGAAAUUAUAAACAACUUUUGGCAACGGAUCUCUUGGCUCUCGCAACGAUGAAGAACGCAGCGAAAUGUGAUACGUAUCAUGAAUUGCAGAACUCUGAAUGAACAAAUAUUUGAACGCAAAUUGCGCCGGCUUCGGUCGGCAUGUCUGUCUGAGAAUCUUUAAAGUCUCUCUUGUCAACAAAGUUAUUGUUGAUAAGGCUAUUGAUGACUCUAUUGCUAGCCAAUAGGUCGCUGAAAUGCAAGUCUUUGCGCAAAGGGAUUGGUCGCGAUGGUGCUUUUGACAAACUCAAAUUCGCUUUGCCGGCUGCGCUCUUUAAAGAACUUGGUCUCAGAUCAGACAGGAGUACCCGCUGAACUUAAGCAUAUCAAUAAGCGGAGGAAAAGAAACUAACAAGGAUUCCCUUAGUAACGGCGAGUGAAGUGGGAAUAGCUCAAAUUUUAAAUCUGCCCUUGGGCCGAAUUGUAGUUUCAAGAGGUGUUUUCGGGCUUAAGGCAAGUCAAAGUCUUCAGGAUUUAAGCGUCAUAGAGGGUGACAACCCCGUGAAUGGCUUGCUGCUGGGUCUAUGUGAUACACUCUCAAAGAGUCAGGUUGUUUGAGAAUGCAGCCUAAAAUGGGUGGUAAAUACCAUCUAAAGCUAAAUAAUGGCGAGAGACCGAUAGCGAACAAGUACCGUGAGGGAAAGAUGAAAAGAACUUUGAAAAGAGAGUUUAACAGUGCUUGAAAUUGUCAAAAGGGAAGCGCUUGAAAUCAGUGAUGAGGCUGGGAAUCAGCAGUCUUGUUAGACUGUGCAUUGCCAAGUCUCAAGUCAACAUCAGUUUGGUUUGCGGGAAAAGGGUUAACAGAGGCACCUAGUGCAAUGUUGGCUUAUACCGUGGGCUAGACUGAGGUCUGCUUAGAGGAUGUUGACGAAAUGGUUUUAAACGUCC
rnacentral:rRNA from 1 species